rnacentral:rRNA from 1 species
UACGUAGGGUGCGAGCGUUAAUCGGAAUUACUGGGCGUAAAGCGUGCGCAGGCGGCGCGUUAAGACAGGUGUGAAAGCCCCGAGCUUAACUUGGGAAUUGCGCUUGUGACUGGCGAGCUGGAGUGUGGCAGAGGGAGGUGGAAUUCCACGUGUAGCAGUGAAAUGCGUAGAGAUGUGGAGGAACACCGAUGGCGAAGGCAGCCUCCUGGGCCAGCACUGACGCUCAUGCACGAAAGCGUGGGGAGCAAACGGG